UCAGUACAGCCCUGAAUUACAUGAUAAUCUGCGACACUUAGCACAGAUUAAACAGUGCUCAGCCCCUGUCUCGGCCACAGUAGUAUGCGAGGCAAAUCAUUCCUCCAGACCUUGGUUUCCCUGUCUGCAAGAUAGGCUAAUGUGGCUUUGUGUGCUUUCUGUCUGCAGCUUUAUCUGUGCUGCAUUUCAGGAGAAUUGAAAGACGACAAGCACAGAUCUUGCUCCCUGGAGGAGGAGAUCUGCAAAGCUCAGUGUUGCGAAGCAGACUGCCAUGGUAACAGCAUCAGUCUUAGCAAGGUCCCACCAUAAAGUAAACUGUGGUGGCACUAUCAGUACAGUAAAUAACACAGCGGGCUCUGAAGUCUGAUGAGGGAGGAAGAUGACUCAGGAUAUAUCACAGUUCACAUGUGUGGCUUUCAUAUGAACUUCUGCAUGUGGAUGUAAAAAUGCCAGUUUUACUACAGCUGUAAAUUGCUCACGGCAAACAAAACAACCCUUACCCAACAGUGUGGCCACUAUUCCCAGCAAUCCAGUUCCAGCUCCCAGCUCAAUCACCGACCGAUCCCUGAGAUCGAUGCCUCCCAUCUCCAGAUAAGCAGACAGGACGACAGCCUGAGCCAGGAGACAAGCAGGGUGAGAGUUUAGCACAGCAAUGAAGUUGGGAGAAAUGUAACUCGGUUUGCCUUUAAAUGCUGCAGAAGGCAAUAUGGAUAUCUGAGCUGCAGAUAAAUUUGCAAAGUAGGAAACUGCUCAUUGUAAGAAAUCUUCUCUUGGCUGCUAAAUGUUUAAAAUCCUUCCUUUGAAAUGAAUACAGCAGUUCUUGUGGUGGUUCUGCAGACACUGCAUAUACCAAAUGGAUCUUGGAGACAUGCACAACGUGAGGAAAAUACUGCAUCCAUCUCACAGUCUCUGGUUGCCACAGCAAAGACAGGAAAACUGCAUACAUCACCUGGAGUACAGCUAUUUCCAAUGCUUGGCUCCUCAGGAAGAGGAGCUGUGCCAGCUCUGCCCAGCAGCACAGAGCACAGCCUCCUUGAUUUCAGCGCAUCUGAGAUUCUCUUCUCAGGUGUAAGGUCUCCAUAACUCCACUGCUGCAGUCCAUUCUCUUGAGUCUCCAAUACGUGCGGAUGCUAGUUUUAUGUUUUCUUAGGACAAAAUGAAGACAAGAUCCAAAAAAAGACUCCAAGGUCAAAAAACAUUUACUGCCAUAUGCUUGUGCUGUUGGCAUCACUGCAGUGAUCCAGGUGCUCGCAUGCUAAGAACCUCCGCACUGCCUGUGCUGACAUCCAGGAUUGCUGCAGAGACACAGAGGUACAGGUGGGAUCAAUUACAGCCAUGCUGGAUUCUGUGUGCUGCGAGGCACAGCUCCCAGCCCUGCUGGCACUGCUCACCGCUUGUCAGUAGUACAGGAGGUGAUCUGAAAACUGAGAAUGUUAGGGCUACUAAACCUCACCCUGUGACCCUGUGUGUUCUGAACAACCUCACUGGUUUCUUUUUUUACUCACACCCUAGCGGAAGCACUGGAUCUAUUUCCCUAAGUACUUUUUUUGUUUCAGUUUUUUUCCCUUAAAUGGCCACAGCCUUAUGUUACUGCUGAGCCUCAGAAGACAAUCAUGCCUGCAGUAUUUUCAUCCUGUCAGCUGGUGCUGGAUUUCAAAACAGGAUGCCCACUUUUCCCCCCAUUAUUCACAGCAGUGAGAUGCAGAAUCCGGAGCUUUUGUUUCCAGUUGGUUACACGGUCCAACGUGUGAUUCAUUCUUCCUGCAGCCAUGUUUCCAGGAAAAGACAAUACUGUGGCCUCUCUCCAAGUCACCCGCAGACUGCUGGAGGCUUGAGCUGGAGAGUGCUCCUGUGCCUGCAGCUGAGACACUUUCUAAGAAGAGAUGAAGGGACGAGGCCUCAGGCGUGGACUGCUGUUAUCUCUCAACAAACAAGCAAGGAGGGACACAGCCUUGGGAAAGCACAUGCAGCACAGAAUCAAGGUGCAGAUAAGAGCAGAAUGUACAGGAUUUAAAAUUCUUGGCCCUGUGAAGCACAACAAGCAUCUGCAAAGAGCUAGUCUCUGUUCUUGGGAUUGAGGCUGAUUGCCAAGCCAGUGGCUUA